rnacentral:rRNA from 1 species
UCGGGAAUUUUGGGCAAUGGGCGAAAGCCUGACCCAGCAACGCCGCGUGAAGGAUGAAGUAUUUCGGUAUGUAAACUUCGAAAGAAUAGGAAGAAUAAAUGACGGUACUAUUUAUAAGGUCCGGCUAACUACGUGCCAGCAGCCGCGGUAAUACGAAGGGAGCUAGCGUUGUUCGGAAUCACUGGGCGUAAAGCGCACGUAGGCGGAUAGUUAAGUCAGGGGUGAAAUCCUGGGGCUCAACCCCAGAACUGCCUUUGAUACUGGCUGUCUCGAGGUCGAGAGAGGUUGGUGGAAUUCCUAGUGUAGAGGUGAAAUUCGUAGAUAUUAGGAAGAACACCAGUGGCGAAGGCGGCCAACUGGCUCGAUACUGACGCUGAGGCGCGAAAGCCAGGGGAGCAAACGGGAUUAGAUACCCUUGUAGUCCCUGAGCGGGCUGGCAAGGCGCAU